CGGGGCGUAGCGCAGCUUGGCUAGCGCGCCACGUUCGGGACGUGGAGGUCGGAGGUUCAAAUCCUCUCGCCCCGACUA
rnacentral:tRNA from 1 species